UACGUAGGGUGCAAGCGUUAAUCGGAAUUACUGGGCGUAAAGCGCGCGUAGGCGGCUUUGUAAGUUAGAGGUGAAAGCCCGGGGCUCAACCCCGGAAUUGCCUUUAAGACUGCAUCGCUUGAAUCCGGGAGAGGUGAGUGGAAUUCCGAGUGUAGAGGUGAAAUUCGUAGAUAUUCGGAAGAACACCAGUGGCGAAGGCGGCUCACUGGACCGGCAUUGACGCUGAGGUGCGAAAGCGUGGGGAGCAAACAGG
rnacentral:rRNA from 1 species